AGAUAAGAGGGUAGAGGAAAGGGUUUUUCCUUCCCUACAGCCUCGUUUACCACAGAGGCUCCCUGACUUGGCUGAUGUGGGCUGUGUGACAUCACACUCUCAAAACUCACCAGAAUGAGUGGAAAGAUCAAGAUUGUCAUGAUCCCCUCGGCUGACAGAGGACGGCUUUUCCUCAGCAACAAAACACUGUCAUGUCGUGAAGUGAGCGAGGAAAGAGGUCCCCAGUGGAGGCCAGCGGGGGCCGUGGAGAAGGGACGGCCCGCGCACUCCUGCGUGGCGGGCGACUCAUCCUGGUCUUGGGUGGCUACAGAUACUGGAAAAUUAAAAAAAAAUUUUAGUUUUCUCUUGCAUUUGGUUUAAAUUGGGUUCAGAACGUCCCAUGUAGGAAAUAAAAGGGGGAUUUGCUGCGAGCCACCACUGCGCCCCAAACUUGUCAUCUCCUUGAUGCUCAGAGAGAACCACGAGUCCGGCGGUGUCCUUGCCUGGGCCAGUGGGAGACCCCGGGGCUCCCGGGCUUCCGUGGACCUCUGAUGUCAGGAGGAGCCCUGCGUACAGUGGCCACUCCCACCUCCUCCUGGAGGCGACACCCCCGCCUGAUACAGAUGCUCCGGCCACGGCCCGCUGACCUGACUUUUUUAGGAACUUUGUUUUCAGGUUGCACGUGGGGCGUCGUCCCGUAUUUUCAGGCAGAUACAGAAAAGCAGAGUGUUGGAACUUUGUGUGUCUCCUUUGAAGUCAUGCUGGUUUUCCCGGGAGAGACGCUUCAGCACGUGAGCAAGUUAAAACGUAGAGUGACUUACUGCAGCUGGAAGGCGUCUCGUGCUCCCUGUGCCUCUGCUGAGGACGGCGCGGGCCCCGCUCGCGUGGAAACGAGUCUGGGCUGCCUGUGUGCCACGGGAGCGCCAAGCCGCUGGGAAGGGACCUGGUGGCCUGGCUUGGAGACGCACGAGGCAUCUUUGCAG
rnacentral:lncRNA from 1 species